GGUCCGGUGGCCUAAUGGUAAGGCGUCAGAUUUCGGUGGACAUCUUCACGAGGUUGGCAAACCAUGACUACCUCGACCUACAAAGAUGCACAAUGCAAUUUGGAUACUCUGAAGAUUGCGGGUUCGAGUCCCGUCUGGAUCG